rnacentral:rRNA from 1 species
CGGUUGGGGAUGGACUCGCGGCUUAUCAGCUUGUUGGUGGGGUAGUGGCUUACCAAGGCUUUGACGGGUAGCCGGCCUGAGAGGGUGACCGGCCACAUUGGGACUGAGAUACGGCCCAGACUCCUACGGGAGGCAGCAGUGGGGAAUAUUGCACAAUGGGCGGAAGCCUGAUGCAGCAACGCCGCGUGCGGGAUGACGGCCUUCGGGUUGUAAACCGCUUUCGCCUGUGACGAAGCGUGAGUGACGGUAAUGGGUAAAGAAGCACCGGCUAACUACGUGCCAGCAGCCGCGGUGAUACGUAGGGUGCGAGCGUUGUCCGGAUUUAUUGGGCGUAAAGGGCUCGUAGGUGGUUGAUCGCGUCGGAAGUGUAAUCUUGGGGCUUAACCCUGAGCGUGCUUUCGAUACGGGUUGACUUGAGGAAGGUAGGGGAGAAUGGAAUUCCUGGUGGAGCGGUGGAAUGCGCAGAUAUCAGGAGGAACACCAGUGGCGAAGGCGGUUCUCUGGGCCUUUCCUGACGCUGAGGAGCGAAAGCGUGGGGAGCGAACAGGCUUAGAUACCCUGGUAGUCCACGCUGUAAACGGUGGGUACUAGGUGUGGGGUCCAUUCCACGGGUUCCGCGCCGUAGCUAACGCUUUAAGUACCCCGCCUGGGGAG